rnacentral:tRNA from 1 species
GCCCGGCUUGCUCAAUCGGUAGAGCGUGAGACUCUUAAUCUCAAGGUUGGGGGUUCGAGCCCCCCGUUGGGCU